GACGAACGCUGGCGGCGUGCUUAACACAUGCAAGUCGAACGGUGAAGCGCCUUCCUUUUUGGUGGGUGUGGAUGAGUGGCGAACGGGUGAGUAACACGUGAGUAACCUGCCCCCUUCUUCUGGAUAACCGCAUGAAAGUGUGGCUAAUACGGGAUAUUCUGGGUCUGUCGCAUGAUGGGUCUGGGAAAGAUAUUGUUUCGGUGGGGGAUGGGCUCGCGGCCUAUCAGCUUGUUGGUGGGGUGAUGGCCUACCAAGGCGGUGACGGGUAGCCGGCCUGAGAGGGUGGACGGUCACACUGGGAAUGAGACACGGGCCCGACUCCUACGGGAGGGAGCCGGGGGGAAUAUUGCACAAUGGGCGCAAGCCUGAUGCAGCGACGCCGCGUGAGGGAUGGAGGCCUUCGGGUUGUGAACCUCUUUCGCCAGUGAAGCAGGCCUGCCUCGUUUGUGGGUGGGUUGACGGUAGCUGGAUAAGAAGCGCCGGCUAACUACGUG
rnacentral:rRNA from 1 species